CCAUGACACUUUCCCCUCAUCGGAUCAUUGUUUACAUCAAACGGAGAGUUACAGAGGAAGUAUCUUUUAUAAGGUUGAAUGAAAUGGAUUGUAAUCUUAUUGCUACAUCUGUGAAGUUGUAAGAAGAAUGGAAAAGUGAAUUGAAAACAUUAUACAGUUCUAUCUCUGCAGUCAUCUACCUAUGAUACCCGUAGCAUUGGUUUGGUAUCGGUAACUACCGGUACAAUCAGCGGCCACUUGUCUGCAUUUUCAAUACUAUUUUUACAAUCGUAGCUAUUUUAAUGCAUACUAUCGCUUAUAUUCGUGCUUUGUUGUAUGGUGUAAGACGUCUGUGAAGUUGUGAAAUAGUGUUUACGUGAUGCAGGCUACAGUACAGUAACUUUAGCAUGCUACUGUACAGUAGUUUAUUUUCGGUUCCAGUGUAUAACAGUUGUAUUCAACAUGUAUCAGUCAUGGAUUAGCUAAUACAUGUAUUAUGUUAUCUAGUUUAAUGGCGUAGAAGUCGUGAUAUUUUCUGUUACGUACGUCUCUUGGAGGAGGGAACGCAACACCCUGCUACAACUCAACUCCCCGUGGAGUGAAAAAGGUAUGAACCCUUGGACGUACAGGUACCUCCAGCGCUCCCUCCUGCCUCACGUUCGGCCCCUGUCCCUGGUGAUCUACCCCAGACCCACUUGUAUCCACCCCAGGCUUCUGAACUUGCCCCAGUGGGGUGAAGACCAGAAGAGGGUGAUGUCCUUCCUGCCUCUCUCUCUCUCUCCCUUAAAUGCAGCUGGUGAUUCCAGAGAGCCGGCGGGCAUCUCUCAACAAGAAGAAGCAGCAGUGGAUUGACCGGAUGCUGUUUACCAGGAGCCUCCUACAGAGCUCAUAGUUCAUCACUGUCCUUUCCCUGGUGGGGUGAAGACCAGAAGAGGGUGAUGUCCUUCCUGCCUCAGAAUGUGCUGGGUGAAUAAGUUCAGUGAUGUUCCAGAUUGUGAGAAGUUCUUCCUGGAUGGGCAAACUCCAAAUCUCCCAGGUAUUUUGGAUGGUGGGACAGUCCAGAACCAGAACCGCUACAAGCCGAUUUGCCAGAAGUACAAAACAAUCUACAGGUUUGCAACUCUCUACGACACGACCAACAGGAUCCCUGUGUUCUCAGCCUACAACUUCACUGGUCCUGGGUGCAACAGAACAAGUCAGACCUGGAUGAUAGAGCCCCAGGUAGGACUAAUGUUUGUCAUAUAACAUAACAUGUGUAUUUGUUUACUGGUAUAUAUCACAGACAGUUAUGUUACCUAGUCAGCCCUGGAUGAUAGAGCCCCAGGUAGGACUAAUGUUUUGUCAUAUAACAUGUGUAUUUAUUUACUGCUAUAGACAAACAGUUUCUUUGAGACACGAAUGUGUUGCAACCAUUUUCAGCUUAAGUCUGGAUUGCUAUAUUAUGACUUUUUUUACGAGUUAAUGUCUAAACUAGUUAAAGAGUUGUAAUGUCUGACUGAUGUUUCUGCAGCUUGAAAAUUUUAAUAUAAAAGAGAUGAAAACCCAACAAGAGUUGAAGGUGCUUAAUAAUAAAACAGACAUAAGAGUCGACCAUCAGGCUGCAGACGCAGACUACAGUGCAACAAUAAGUAGCAUGGAUCUGGACAGAGGUCACCUGUUCCCAUGUAAAGCCACACCUGAUGAUGAUACCGUGAGGUCCACCUUCACCCUGACAAACGUCGUUCCCCAGGAAAGAGGCUUCAACCGAGGCAGAUGGUGUAAAAUGGAGGGCAGAUUCAGAGUAGCUCUUAUGAACUGUAAGAAUAACAACAACCAGAUAGAAGCCUAUGUGGUGACUGGAGCAGUUCCCAACGACAACAACGUAAUACUGAACAACAGAGUGAACAUCCCAGAUCUCAUGUGGACAGCCUUCUGCUGUUACAACAACAAGAUCAAGAAGUGGAUGGCCGGAGCAUACUGGGGGGAGAACAAAAAGGACAAUGGUAAAAUAUUGAACCUGGAAACCUUGGGAGCACUCGAAGUCAAGUUGAAGAAAAGCUACAAUGUUGAUAUCAAGGUGUUUCACGAUAAAUGUCCAAGAAAAGUUAAUGUACAACAGGUUGAGCAUGUAGAUGAGGUUGAGCCGGGGAAAAAGACGGAAGGGAGCGGAGAGGGGAGUAAUAAGAUGGAGAGAACAUCAGGGGAGUUAAAGGAAUGUGAUGACGAGGAUGGAUGUGAUUGUGACUGUGAUGAAAAGUAAUGAGUUUUGUCCAGUGGUAAUUCCCACAACUAUUGAGUACACAUUGGUUAAGUAAUAAGGGUUAAAUGGUUAUAAUAGGGUUAUAAUGGUUAUAAUAAGGGUUAUAAUGGUUAUAAUAAGGGUUAAAAUGGUUAUAAUAAGGGUUA